UUGUGAUGCUAAGUGCCCAAAACCUGGUGGAGCUCCUUCGGGAGACGAUCCAGGCGGAGCGCACGACCCGAACUAGUACUAGUCAAGCGAUGGGGUGACGCAGGAAGGUAGUCCAACCACGGCGAUGGUUGACCGUGGCUAACCGCGUAGGGUUGAGGAUAGGCAAAUCCGUCCUCUAUAUGCCUGAGACGGGACAGCGAGUCCGUAUGGACGAAGUGGGUAAUCCUAUGCUGCCGAGAAAAACCUCUAGCGAGCUAUGCGCCGCCCGUACCCCAAACCGACUCAGGUGAUCAAGUAGAGAAUACUAAGGCGAUCGAGAGAACCAUGGUUAAGGAACUCGGCAAAAUGCCCCCGUAACUUCGGGAGAAGGGGGGCCUGAUUUGUUAUUGCACUUGCUGCAAAAAGCAAUGAUGGCCGCAGAGACCAGGCCCAAGCGACUGUUUACUAAAAACACAGGUCCGUGCGAAGUUGUAAGACGAUGUAUACGGACUGACUCCUGCCCGGUGCUGGAAGGUUAAGGGGACGGGUUAGCACGCAAGUGCGAAGCUCAGAGCUUAAGCCCCAGUAAACGGCGGUGGUAACUAUAACCAUCCUAAGGUAGCGAAAUUCCUUGUCGGGUAAGUUCCGACCUGCACGAAUGGAGUAACGACUUGGGCGCUGUCUCAACCGUGGACUCGGCGAAAUUGCAAUACGAGUAAAGAUGCUCGUUACGCGCGGCAGGGCGGAAAGACCCCGGGACCUUUACUACAAUUUGGUAUUGGUGUUUGGUUCGGCUUGUGUAGGAUAGGUGGGAGACUUUGAAGCAGGGACGCCAGUUCUUGUGGAGUCAACGUUGAAAUACCACUCUGGUCGUACUAGAUGUCUAACCUAGGUCCGUUAUCCGGAUCAGGGACAGUGCCUGAUGGGUAGUUUAACUGGGGCGGUUGCCUCCUAAAAUGUAACGGAGGCGCUCAAAGGUUCCCUCGGCCUGGUUGGCAAUCAGGUUUCGAGUGUAAGUGCACAAGGGAGCUUGACUGUGAGAGUGACAACUCGAGCAGGGACGAAAGUCGGAACUAGUGAUCCGGCGCUGGCAUGUGGAAGCGGCGUCGCUCAACGGAUAAAAGGUACCCCGGGGAUAACAGGCUGAUCUUCCCCAAGAGUCCAUAUCGACGGGAUGGUUUGGCACCUCGAUGUCGGCUCGUCGCAUCCUGGGGCCGGAGUAGGUCCCAAGGGUUGGGCUGUUCGCCCAUUAAAGCGGCACGCGAGCUGGGUUUAGAACGUCGUGAGACAGUUCGGUCCCUAUCCGCCGCGCGCGCAGGAAACUUGAGAAAAGCUGUCCCUAGUACGAGAGGACCGGGAUGGACGAACCUCUGGUGUGCCAGUUGUUCUGCCAAGAGCACGGCUGGUUAGCUACGUUCGGAAGUGAUAACCGCUGAAAGCAUCUAAGCGGGAAGUACGUUUCAAGAUGAGGUUUCCCACCGGGUUAACCGGGUAAGGCCCCCAGCAGAACACUGGGUUGAUAGGCCGGAGGUGUACAGCAGUAAUGUCCAGCCGACCGGUACUAAUAGGCCGAGGGCUUGUC
rnacentral:rRNA from 1 species